rnacentral:rRNA from 1 species
AUUGAACGCUGGCGGCAUGCCUUACACAUGCAAGUCGAACGGCAGCGGGGGAGAAGCUUGCUUUUCCUGCCGGCGAGUGGCGAACGGGUGAGUAAUACAUCGGAACGUGCCCUGUAGUGGGGGAUAACUAGUCGAAAGAUUAGCUAAUACCGCAUACGACCUGAGGGUGAAAGUGGGGGACCGCAAGGCCUCAUGCUAUAGGAGCGGCCAAUGUCUGAUUAGCUAGUUGGUGGGGUAAAGGCCUACCAAGGCGACGAUCAGUAGCUGGUCUGAGAGGGCGAUCAGCCACACUGGGACUGAGACACGGCCCAGACUCCUACGGGAGGCAGCAGUGGGGAAUUUUGGACAAUGGGCGAAAGCCUGAUCCAGCAAUGCCGCGUGUGUGAAGAAGGCCUUCGGGUUGUAAAGCACUUUUGUCCGGAAAGAAAUGGCUCUGGUUAAUACCUGGGGUCGAUGACGGUACCGGAAGAAUAAGGACCGGCUAACUACGUGCCAGCCGCCGCCGUAA